CAACUACGCCCCCUAUCCGCCCGGUACUACGAGCACCAGCUUAAAACCCAAAGACUUGGCGGUGCUUCACAUCCGUCUAGAGGAGCCUGUUCUAGAACCGAUAACCCCCGUUAAACCUCACCCUCCCUUGUUAAUACCGCCUAUAUACCGCCGUCGUCAGCCUACCCUGUGAAGGACUAGAAGUGAGCAAGAUUGGUAAGACCCAAAACGUCAGGUCGAGGUGUAGUGUAUGAGAGGGGAAGAAAUGGGCUACAUUUCCUAAGUCAGGAAAUACGAAUAAUGAACUGAAAUAAGCAUUAGAAGGUGGAUUUAGCAGUAAGCAGUAAAACAGAGUGUUCUGCUGAAAUAUGGCAAUAAAGCACGCACACACCGCCCGUCACCCUCUGCAG
rnacentral:rRNA from 1 species